rnacentral:rRNA from 1 species
UACGGAGGGUGCAAGCGUUACUCGGAAUCACUGGGCGUAGAGGGUGCGUAGGCGGCUAUUUAAGUCUGAUGUGAAAUCCAACGGCUUAACCGUUGAACUGCUUGGGAAACUGGUAGCCUAGAGUGAGGGAGAGGCAGAUGGAAUUGGUGGUGUAGGGGUAAAAUCCGUAGAGAUCACCAGGAAUACCCAUUGCGAAGGCGAUCUGCUGGAACUCGACUGACGCUGAGGCACGAAAGCGUGGGGAGCAAAC